UGGGGAAUAUUGCGCAAUGGGGGGAACCCUGACGCAGCCAUGCCGCGUGAAUGAAGAAGGCCUUAGGGUUGUAAAGUUCUUUCGGUAUUGAGGAAGGUUGAUGUGUUAAUAGCACAUCAAAUUGACGUUAAAUACAGAAGAAGCACCGGCUAACUCCGUGCCAGCAGCCGCGGUAAUACGGAGGGUGCGAGCGUUAAUCGGAAUAACUGGGCGUAAAGGGCACGCAGGCGGUUAUUUAAGUGAGGUGUGAAAGCCCCGGGCUUAACCUGGGAAUUGCAUUUCAGACUGGGUAACUAGAGUACUUUAGGGAGGGGUAGAAUUCCACGUGUAGCGGUGAAAUGCGUAGAGAUGUGGAGGAAUACCGAAGGCGAAGGCAGCCCCUUGGGAAUGUACUGACGCUCAUGUGCGAAAGCGUGGGGAGCAAACAGGAUUAGAUACCCUGGUAGCCCACGCUGUAAACGCUGUCGAUUUGGGGGUUGGGGUUUAACUCUGGCGCCCGUAGCUAACGUGAUAAAUCGACCGCCUGGGGAGUACGGCCGCAAGGUUA
rnacentral:rRNA from 1 species